rnacentral:misc_RNA from 1 species
CUUCUUCAUGGGAAUAAAUACUCAGUAACCGACGAAUUCUUCACAAGACUUAUAAAAACUAAUUUUACACAGAUUCAGUCUUUAGUCUACCGCAGACGACGAAAUACAGAUGUAGCACAAAUAGAUACAUCAUGGCCUGAGUUAUCUCUCUUAGUUAAAAAUUUUUCAGCUAAAAUAUCUGUAUCUAAUUUCAAUUCUCAUUCGUUUUUAUUUAGUUAACUACAUUAAAUUAUGUGUUUAUUAAUUUGCUUUUUACUUUUGUAGAUAGGUCUUCACGGAUGUGUGCGUUGUUUUUUGUAGGUUAUCUCAAGCUUUUAUGUCAUGGAUUUGCAGAAAAGGUUAGGUCAGUCGAUAUUGGCGCCUAUACAACAAUGAUUCAUAUCAUCACGACGUGCGUAUUGACGGUGGACCGAUCACACCUAUGUUAUUGGUACGGCGAAGCUGGGCAUCGCGCUAGUGGCUGUACGGCCUCGAUACCCAAGUCGCCCUCUCUGUGAGUCGCUCGGAGUACCUGCGGCUCACCGGUUGGGAGGAACGGUGUGCUGCCCGACGAAGAAGGGAAACAGGAGGAAGCCAUCAAUUCGUGACUCUGCCGCGAAGAAGAGCAUAGCGGGUCCAGCGUGCACCGAAGGAGGUACCAGAGGAGCGGUAGAUGACCGGGAGGAGUCCAUGGAUUUGGUGCAGUAAAUUCAUACGUCUUCUCCAGACUAAUCUGGGACGGUCGAGACG